GUACACACCGCCCGUCACACCAURGGAGUUGGCUUUACCUGAAGACGGUGYGCUAACCGCAAGGAGGCAGCCGGCCACGGUAGGGUCAGCGACUGGGGUGAAGUCGUAACAAGGUAGCAGUAGGUGAACCUGCAGAAGGAUCA
rnacentral:rRNA from 1 species